rnacentral:rRNA from 1 species
UACGUAGGGUGCGAGCGUUGUCCGGAAUUAUUGGGCGUAAAGAGCUCGUAGGCGGUUUGUUGCGUCGGCCGUGAAAACCUGCAGCUUAACUGUGGGCCUGCGGUCGAUACGGGCAGACUUGAGUUCGGUAGGGGAGACUGGAAUUCCUGGUGUAGCGGUGAAAUGCGCAGAUAUCAGGAGGAACACCGGUGGCGAAGGCGGGUCUCUGGACAGUUCCUGACGCUGAGGCACGAAGGUCAGGGGAGCAAACGGG